rnacentral:lncRNA from 1 species
UACAAGUAGCAGAUGCACAGGACCCAGUAGACACUAUAAAAAGCAAUCAAGUCAUUUUCCCAACGGAUAUUCUACUGCAUUAGAUCUUCUAUAUUGCUCCAUUGCUCUCUCCAGAAUCUUGCAAGACAAAUGUUUAGAUUUCAUAGAAUAAAUUUUUAGACUUUACCAUUGAAUAAGUAAAGCUCUCUAAAACAAUAGUAAAAAUAAGCCAUCAUUAGAGUUGCUUAAAACACUCUUCAGACGUCCAAUAAUGACGUAUAAAAUUUAAAAGUUUUAAGAAGUUUUCUCUAGAAAUUAAGCAAUGGUACUAUGAUACACUUUUACAUACAUUUAAUACAUAGUAUAAGUAUAAGGUAAAAUAAUCAUAAAAAUGUAAAAUUUUUGUAUUUUUUAAAAAAAAAAGAGAAUAAAAAGUAAAAAAGAAUAGUAUCAAAUGAAUGUAAAAAAGUUAAACGUGUCAAACAAUAUUUUUCCUAGAAAUUGUUGAAAGAACCGAUUUUUAAAUUUAUGAAAAAACUCCCACUACAAAUGCUCUCAGUAAAUAUCCAGUGAUAAGGAUUACAGGUAUGAAGGGUUAAAUAAUACAGAGACAAGUGAAGUAGAAAAUCGUGUACUACCUCGUCUUUCCUACCUUUCUGUCUGCUUAAUGAUGCUUCUAAUUUGUCUGUUUGUUUGUUCGGCCUUUGCUGUAAAUUCACCACAAAUAUAAAAGUGAAGCAGUGUUUAAAGAGUAAGGAAUGGUCUACAUCUUCAUCAGCAAACUUAAAUGGAGAUAAGAUACUUUCAAUGUCCAACCAUGGUGCUAAAGAGGGCAUAGUAACUUAGAGACUAGUGCUGCUAUGUUUGGAUGAGAUACAACAGUAGCAGAACACCACCUCAUCAUGUCAAGCAAUGCAUUAACUCUUUUU